rnacentral:rRNA from 1 species
GUAACGCGUAGGCAACCUGCCCCAUACAGAGGGAUAGCCAUUAGGAAACGAUGAAUUAAAACCACAAUAAAACCGAGUUAUCGCAUGGUAACAUGGUCCAAAGUUUUUAUCGGUAUGGGAUGGGCCUGCGUCUGAUUAGUUAGUUGGUGAGGUAACGGCUCACCAAGGCGACGAUCAGUAGCCGACCUGAGAGGGUGAACGGCCACAUUGGAACUGAGACACGGUCCAAACUCCUUACGGGAGGCAGCAGGUGGGGAAUAUUGCACAAUGGGCGAAAGCCUGAUGCAGCAACGCCGCGUGAAGGAAGAAGGUCUUCGGAUCGUAAACUUCUGUCCUAUGGGAAGAAGCAAGUGACGGUACCAUAGGAGGAAGCCCCGGCUAACUACGUGCC